rnacentral:tRNA from 1 species
GCCUGGGUGGCUCAGUCGGUUGGGCAUCUGACUUCAGCUCAGGUCAUGAUCUCACGGUUUGUGGGUUCGAGCCCUGCGUCGGGCC